rnacentral:rRNA from 1 species
UGGGGAAUAUUGCACAAUGGGCGGAAGCCUGAUGCAGCGACGCCGCGUGGGGGAUGAAGGCCUUCGGGUUGUAAACUCCUUUCGACAGGGACGAAGCUUUUGUGACGGUACCUGUAUAAGAAGCACCGGCUAACUACGUGCCAGCAGCCGCGGUAAUACGUAGGGUGCGAGCGUUGUCCGGAAUUACUGGGCGUAAAGAGCUCGUAGGUGGUUUGUCGCGUCGUCUGUGAAAUUCCGGGGCUUAACUCCGGGCGUGCAGGCGAUACGGGCUGACUUGAGUGCUGUAGGGGCGACUGGAAUUCCUGGUGUAGCGGUGAAAUGCGCAGAUAUCAGGAGGAACACCGAUGGCGAAGGCAGGUCUCUGGGCAGUAACUGACGCUGAGGAGCGAAAGCAUGGGUAGCGAACAGG